UACGGAGGGUGCAAGCGUUAUCCGGAUUUAUUGGGUUUAAAGGGUCCGUAGGCGGACUGAUAAGUCAGUGGUGAAAUCCUGCAGCUUAACUGUAGAACUGCCAUUGAUACUGUCAGUCUUGAAUAUGGUUGAAGUGGGCGGAAUAUGACAUGUAGCGGUGAAAUGCUUAGAUAUGUCAUAGAACACCGAUAGCGAAGGCAGCUCACUAAGCCAUGAUUGACGCUGAUGGACGAAAGCGUGGGUAGCGAACAGG
rnacentral:rRNA from 1 species